rnacentral:lncRNA from 1 species
GCCCUACAGCAUAUGGGAAUUCCCAGGCUAAGGAUCAGAUCUGAGCUGCAGUUGCAACCUACACCACAAUUUUGGCAACACCAGAUCCGUUAACCCACUGUGUACUCUGGGGAUCGAACCCACAUCCUGGCACUGCAGAGAUGCCACCAAUCCUGAUGCACCACAGCAGCAACUCCUCCAACUAGACUUUAAAGAAAAUCCAUUAAGACGUCAAGCCGUUUUGCAGAGCUAUCUUGAUAAAGUCCACACUUCUCAAAAAACAGAAUAAUCAUGUCAUGGCCACUGCCACCAUCCCUGGGGAAUACAGAGUGGUAUAACAAGUAGAAGACACAAAAUUUAAAAAACAGAUAAGCUUGGGGCAUGAAUUUCCUUUUUUUUUUUUUUUUUUUUUUUUUUUUGUGCAGGCGUGCAUGCGUGAGUACGUUGUUUGGGGGCAUGAACUUUCUUGGUGGAAAAUAACUGCAAACAUUACUUCUAUGUUAAAACAUGUAGUUAUAUUCAUGAUAGGUAUGUAGAUUAUACCAGUAUAUGCUUGUGUCAAUACCAAACUUAAGAUCUAUACAUUUCACUGUAUGUCAUUUUUAACUCAUUUUUUUCAAAAAAGAUAUAUAUGGAAUAGAAUGUAUAUUCAAAUAGAUUUUUAAGAAAGCAUUCUGGAAAUUUCAACAAAUCUGAGCUUUCUGGAAGCACAAUUUGGCCUAUGACCUGUGACUACACAAGAACAUGAGUUUACUUUCUCCUGCUAUUCAGGUACUUUAGGAGGAAAUUUAAGAAACAGAACACUAAGAAAACCCAGUAUUGGUUUUUCAUUGGUUGUUUUAUAUAAAUUGAGCCUUUUCUGGAAAUUUAAAUGGGUGACCUGGUAGGAUUACCAUGUAAGAUUGGUCUAUGCCUUAAAGUACAUUUCCUAAAGCAAACUCUUUAAAAAUACCAGAAAAAUCACCACAACCACAGUAGCCCCAGUACAGCAGCCCCACUGGUUCUGUUCAUUAAAGGAAUAACUGCAGAAAUUUACCAGAUACCUGUAAAGCUUUUCAGUUCCCAGAACUAGAUGUAAUACUCCCCUACAGGGAGAAGGCGGUUAACGAAUCCGACUAGGAACCAUGAGGUUGCAGGUUCGAUCUCUGGACUUGCUCAGUGGGUUAAGGAUCUGGCGUUGCCGUGAGCUACGGUGUAGGUCACAGACGCAACUCAGAUCCCGCAGUGUUGUGGCUCUGGCAUAGGCCAGCGGCUAUAGCUCUGACUAGACCCCUAGCCUGGGAACCUCCAUAUGCCACAGGUAUGGCCCUAGAAAAGACACAAAAAACCCAAAAACAUAUAAACCUGUUCAAUAAAUGUCUGCUGAAUGACAGAGUUCAAUAGGUAGUGGAUUUUAUUAACUGACAAUUUUCUAAAAGGGAAAGCAAAAUCUUCGGUCUUGGAGGAACUUGGCAGGACAGCAAAAAAGAGUGCUGUAAUAUCGGAACACUGAAAAACAGAGCUGAGUAGGCCCUGAGUCACCUGGGCCCUACUCGAUGUGACACAAAUGCAAGGGUUUGUUGUGGAAGGAUAUGGCUUUCUCCCCUGACAUCAACCUCACAAGAUUAUGGGUAAACUCCAAAACCUCCUACUUGCCAUAAUGCCCCAUUACUUUUGCAUCACAAAUUUAUUUAAACUAUAUUUUUGCAGAAAUGUGUAGUUUCUAUUUUUAUCUCUGCUGAGGACAACAGUGUAUAUAACAUUUCUGCCCUAAUGUUUAAGACAGCAAUGUAUUAAGGGGCAUGGGGUGGGGGUCCAGAAAUAGGACUAUAAGGCAUUACCAUUCAUUCACAUUCACAAGAAUGUGAAUGAAUGAUCCUUUGCUGACUUCAUCCAUGACCCCUCAGGUUUAAAUUAAAGAUCCUUCAGCAUUCAAAAAAGAGAGCCUCCUUCAGUGCAGUGCUCCAUCCUGGCAGUGUUUCAAAUUGGGGCUUCUUGAACUCACAUUUUUCUAACCUAGACAUGCAUGUUGCACUCGGGGAAGAUGAGCAUCACGUUCUUAAACAUGAGUAAGGAACUAUUUUUAGUUCUGUUUCUUCUUGUGGACAAAUAACUUUUUCUUGUUGGACUUCCUUCGUCACAGUGGUGAUGUGAUAAUCGUCAACCUCUUCUUGGAAAAGUUCAGAAGCACUCAAGUUUUUUCCAGGGUCUUUAAUGAAGAACCCAACUUGUGUGAAUUAUUUUGACCUUUGAAUAUCACUUUCCUUUCUGAAGCACCCACUACAAAUUCCUUUGUAAACUGGGUAUUUCUAAAACCUGAAACCAAGAGGCAAGCACAAGAAAAGUAUCCCAACUGUGCUCUUUUGUUUGGUCAAAUCAUCCUGUCCUCACCCCCUCCUACUCAAAAUGGUUAGACUACAUGCAAAUAGAGCAAGCAAGAUAGGGUGGGAAGAAAUUGAGCAACUAUUAAAUAGAAGACUCUGGCAAAGCAGAAACAAAUACUCUGGGAAAAAAGCAGAAAUAAAGAUUAAAAAAAAAAGAUGGACUGCCAUGUUAAGAUAAAGCCAUUCUCAGUCAUUUGCAUGGAUUUAUUUCCUGCCAAAAAUAUUUUUAUAUUUAGAGAGAUUAGGCAAUACGGAAAAUGUAGAAAAUGAUAUUAUAGGAAGUUCCCAUUAUGGCUCAGCAGUAACAAACCCAACUGGUAUUCAUGAGGACUUAGGUUCAAUCCCUGGCCUCGUUCAGUGGGUUAAGGCUCUGGCAUGGCCGUGAGCUGUGGUGUAGGUCACACAUGCAGCUCGGAUACCAUGUUGCUGUGGCUGUGGCAUAAGCCGGCAGCUGUGGCUCCGAUUCGACUCCUAACCUUCCAUAUGCCGUUUUUGCAGCCCUAAAAAGACCAAAAAAAAAAAGAUAUUAUAAUAAUUGUUAUAGAUAAAAAGACCUCAGGAGAGCCCCAUCACCAGACUCAGUAUUACUUCUAGAUUGUCUUCCCACAGAUUCACUUCCAUAUUAUACUCUUUUCAUAUUACUCAAGGUUUAGGGAGAAAAAAAUUACUAUUAGCAAGUUUAAAGCAUUUACAAACCAUGAGCUAUAACCAUACCUCCAGAGUCACUCAUGGUAACUGCGUAUCUAGAGCAUUAAAAAAAUGUAUAUCACAAAGCAAACCUAAAAUACUACCAUCUUCCUGAAAUAACAUAUUUCACCAUUGUUAAAAAUCUAGAAAAUAAGUGUUGUGGAAUUAAAGAUUUAAUGAAACUAGACAGAAUAAAUAAUUAAAAGAAUGAGUAAGAUAUAUAAAAGUUAGGCUGAGAAACCAUGUCCUUGGCUUG